rnacentral:lncRNA from 1 species
GCAGGUCAAGGGCUACCAACUCAACUGGUGGCCAUAGGGAUCACCAAGGGCUACCUGGGGCAGGUCAAGGGCUACCAACUCAACUGGUGGCCAUAGGGAUCACCAAGGGCUACCUGGGCUAGGCCAGGCUCUGCCAACUCAAGUGGUAGCCACAGGGAUGGCCAAGGUUUACCAACUCAAGUGGUGGCCACAGGGAUCACCAAGGGCUACCUGGGCCAGGUCAAGGUCUACC